AUCAGGUUGAUAGGUCUGAGGUGGAAGUGUGGCGACACAUGGAGCUGACAGAUACUAAUCGAUCGAGGACUUAACCUAAUUU
rnacentral:rRNA from 1 species